UUUUGUUUUUUGUUUUUUGUUAGAGACUGCUGCAUUCCUACUGAGUUUCUCUGAACUGAAGGGUGAUGGUUCUCUCUGGCAGAGGGCAUCAUGGUCAGGCUUUUAACACAAUGGAGCACUCCUCUCAGGAGUCAAUCUUGCACCAUCAUUUUUCUGAUGGAGGGGAUUGUCAGGCCCAGCUUAAAUGCACACUGCUGCUCAGGAUAUAGGAGAUGACACAUUGUUUGGGAUUGAAGCUGGUGAAAAGGAAGACCAGAUCCAAACAGGCAGAGGAGAACAAAGACCAGGUGAUGCACUUAGUUGGGCUACCUGAUUAUGGUAUGGAACUGGGGUUCAGUCUGGAGAAGAGGAUGUUCAGGGGAGACCUUGUCACUCUUUACAGCCACCUGAAAGGAGGUUGUGGCGAGGGGGGGAUCAGCCUCUUGUCCCAGGUUCAUUGUCUAUGGCACCGUGAUUCCCUGCCCAGGAUGUCCUCCUUUCACCACUCGCUCUUCUUGUAUCAUCUCUGGGAAUGCUCAACCCAAACCCACCCUCCCUUCUGUCAGCUUGUUUAUAGAUCCCACUGUUGCAGGGCACUUCAAGAAGAACUUGGGCAGCCAUCACAGCAGAAGAGGCUUUCCUGCUGGGCUCCAUGCACAGCUCAGAAAGCUGAAUUUCCAGUGUUGAGGGGUUAGACUAAUUCUUAGAGUAACAAUAUACAUAUUUCUGUGAAAGCUCAAGGUCAGAUUUGUAUUUGUGUUCUCCAUUUGGAAGCUACUCUGCUCGGCCUCCCUUUCCCUGUAACUUUAUAUUGCUGUAAAUACAAUCCUUUGGUCAUGCAAAAGCUGUAUUUUUAGCAAGCUCUGCUUGGCUCCUACCUAGGGGAGUGCAACUGUGAAGUUCAGCCCAGCCCCACAGCCCCUGCCCCAUCCCCCCUCCAGGGGGAUGUCCACUCCCGUUGGAUGACACACUCAGAAAUGCCAACGCUACUGUUGGAUAAAAACCUGAACUGCUUCACUUCUGAGAGUUUUCUCAAAGCACCCUGACAAAGCAAAUUCCCUCUGAGAUUUUCUCACCAUUCUGCUCAUACAGUUGCUUUCUUUCAGCCACCCUUGUAGACAAAAAGGGAAGCCCUUCUGUGUGAAUCCAGAAAACACAACCAAAACUUAAAUAGAGCUUAUAAGCAGGAGGGAAAUCAACAUUAUACACAGAUAGAUAGUGAUUGGAUGAAGGAGCUUUAAACUAAACGAGGGGAGAUUUAGGUUAGAUGUUAGGUGGAAAUUCUUUCCCCAGAGGUUGGUGAGGCGCUGGCACAGCUGCCCAGAGAAGCUGUGGUGCCCCAUCCCUGGAGGCGCUCAAGGCCAGGUUGGAUGGGGCCCUGGGCAGCCUGAGCUGGUGGGGGGCAGCCCUGCUUAUGGCAGGGGUUGGAAACAGAUGGUCUUUGAGGUUCCUUCAACCCAAGCCAUGAUCCUAUGAUGAAAGCAGCUGACAAGCAGGCAUCACCCCAGUCUUCAUCGGAAAAUGCUGUGAUUCUCUGGGACUUGUGUGGUAUUAUCCUGUGCAGCCUUCACAGUGGCAAAGGUGACACAAAGACCCAGUCUCUGGUGGAAGGGGACAGGCAGUGCAAGCAAUGCUGUGAGUGAAAAUGGGAAAGGAUAUGUAACUAGUUUCCCAAAACCUGGGCAAUUGUUCCCACCUUUUGCCCAUAUGCUGAGGGGGUUUACAUUUUGGAAGAGGAGUGGUGAUAUAGAGACUCCCCUCAGUGACUUCUGGAGUGCCUAUGAGUUCUCUGGCAAGUGGGUAUUUCUUCUAGUUCCAUCAUCCUUCCAGUGUCUUUUCCCUCCUUUUCCUCAUUAGUACCUGGAUUGUAGGCAAAUCCUUACUUUGUUUGGCUAGUAGAGGUAGUACAAACAUUUAACAUUUCUUUGUCUCCAGCUUCAAGAGGUUGGAAAAAAUGAGUCAAUGUUUACAGCUGCUUUAGCCAGAGUAGAGCAAAAAUCCAAAGGUGAACCUCUUUUGAGUUUUUCAUAUAUAAAGAACACAAAGAGAGGGAGGUCUUUUCAUCACUGUGAAAAGUCUUGAAAUGGCUUGAUUAUUAUUAUUAUUAUUUUUCAGAAGAAGAAGAAAAGCUCACUAUUUUAAGACAUCACUAGAGGAAUGAAAUUGACAAGCCUCUAUCCAACUGAAUGUUUAAAUUUUGAAAGGAAAAAGAAAUACAGCAUGACUGACACGGUCCUUUUAAAACACAUAAUACGCUGAACUUAACAUGACAUUUCCGUGGGUGUUAGUCUAAAAAGCUAUCUUUAUAUGUAACAUAGCAGAUGAACUAUGGAAGGCAAGGUUGUAUCUGUAUGCAUUGUUGCUCAGUAGUACUACAGGACUGAGAAACCUGGCAAACUUGCUACUUAAAUUCCCAAGAGAAGAGGUUGGAGUAUUCCUGCUCUUUCAAACACUGAAAAAGUUUGCUUUAGACUAAAUUUAUAUAUAUUGUGUUAGAAUGAAAAGAGCUUGGUGUUAAAAAGCUGCAAAUCCCAGCCCAGUUCAUCCCUAAAGAAGUGAGGUGCUCUUGGAGAAGUGCUACACAGGGACCUGGUGGAGUGAAGGAGGUGCAGCUCUGACUCUCAUCAGUACUCGUUGUCUCUUCCUGCUGAGGAAGCAUUUGUUGUCUUGUUCCUAGUAAAAUUAGGAGAGGGCUGGGGUCACAUAACCAGCCCCUGACCCGGCUUGCUGGUAGGAAGAGGUGAGAAACAGUAGUGGGAUUUUCAUGGCCCUUAGAGUAGGAUCAAGGAGUGAUGGUAGCAGUGGGGACUCCUUUAUAGAACAAUAGCAUCCUUCAGCUCCAAAUGGAGAUCUCUUGGGAAAGAAGAGCUUCCACUCAUUGCUCCAAAGAGCACAGAUGUAAAAUGCUGCAGAAUAGAAGUAUUUCAGAAACACAGUUUCUAUCUAUAGUGAGAAAAUCAGCUUAUUCUUGCUGCCCCUUCUCCUCUGGUGGUCCUCCAAUUUCUCCUUUUUUAGGAGGAUUUGUCUCCAUGUAAGAUAUAUGGAGCAAAGCUCUAAGGGCUGACGUUUUGUCACACCUGCAGGAGGUAACUGAGGUGAGUGGGUCUCCCAACAUCAGUGGCCACCCUUGCAUGGAUAAUCUCCAGCAGCCAGCCUCCAGUCCUCUAGGAGCCAUGUGCAAUCAUGAGGCUUCAGGUCUCCUAGAAGUAGAGACCUUGCAGAUCCUCUACCCAUUUCCAUGCUAGUCUUACUGCAGCAUAUCUAGUGUACUAUCUACCACAUAAACCCACAUUCCUGUCCAACACUGAAGUGAAGAAUGACACAAUCACAGAAAUCUAAGAACAACUUAUUCUCAUCCUGUUACUGCUACCUUCUUUCUGUUUGAUUAUUCUUAUCAAGUGUCCCAUCUUUCUGUCUGUUUUUCUUCUUAUUUUUCUGGACUUCUGAGUCAACCUCACCCUUCCCUGUGGGUCUCUUUUUAGUUGUUCAAGCCUUCCUUGAUGAGCACUGGCUAAGAACUAGCCAGACACCCUUUGGCUCAGUUCAUCUCCUUACAGAGGAGAGGAGAUGAUUUGGCCAUUUUCUCUAACCAGCAGGAAGAAAAGGGUACCUCCACCUCCACAUCCCCACAGUAUGCUUUCCAUGAGCAGCUGUUUUCAUUUCAUUUUUCUUUCCCUGAAAUUCAUGUUUGCUUGUUCUGAAUUUCAAGAUGCCUACCCAGGCUCUUUUUAGCAGUGAGUUAGAGUAACAUAGGAUACAGUGGCAGCUAGAUGCACCUAUUAAUCAAAUUAAAGCAUCUUGCUAAAUUAAUUCAGAAAGCCUUGGUGCUGGCUGUUGUGAUUUCAUCAUGUCUCAUGACAUUCAAUAAUUUUGUUAUGGCUUUUCUCUCCAGAUUCAUGUGAUAAUGGAAGAAGCUGGGGUUUCACUUAGGAGGAAUUAGCAAUAAAGUAUCUAGAGCACCUGGCUAUAGAGAGUGAUUGGCAGAUGAGACCCAAGAGCGCCCUAAAGUCUCAGAUAAUCAGAAAGCAAAUAAAAAGCACCUGCAAUGAACAUUGGUUGGCUGAGCUUGCUGGGAUGGCCCUCACUCAAAAUGUGUUUGUCUGGCUGCUCCAGCAAAAAGGAGUUGUUGAGCACCAGAUUCUUGAAAAUGCUACAAUGCUUUCUGGAUAGCACCUUGUGGGAAGCCCAGAGGGGCGUAGGGAGUAAAGUGAUGAUCACUUGCUGCCACGCUGAGAAAUGAGAGUACUAAAGUACGCCACUAGAUGAAUGAAAUAUGGCAGAAAAUACAGUUUUAUGAACCAAGACUCUCUUGACAUAAAAGCUUAAAAAAAUGCAGGAUAUUAUACGGCAAGAGAGACACCUAAUAAACACACGGACAUAAAGACUGCACAGAUAUAGGAAGCAUUCAGACUGCAUGUAGGACUGGUAGAGGACCAAAGCAGUUUCUUUUCCUGUUGCAGAAAUCAACAGGCCUGGAACGCUCUAUGUUGUUAGCAGGAACAGUUUGCAAAGGCUUGCACAAAACCACUGUCAGAAAUAACUCAAAUGCAGAGAGGAAAAAAUUACUCGAGAGUUCUUUUGGGGAGGAUUAGGUUUAAAAUAAUUGCCAUUUAUAAAUUAAUUUCACAUCCUUUUGGAUUGCGGCCUACUCGCAUUUCAAGGCCUGACUGAAGCUGGCAGACAGGGUGGGCACUGAUUCCAAGGCCUGACUGCCAAGAGAAAAGAAAAUAUUAAAGUAAAAAAUUGGCAGUGAAAAAAGAAGGCCAGAGAAAUACAGGGAAAUAAGAUUUAGUUUAGGAAAAUUAUUACUUUCUGAGCCACGGACUGAUUCUAUGGCUGGCAUAUUAGUCAUGCUCUUACAUAGACUUGGCCUUUGUAAUCUAUGUCUGAAGAGAAACUGCUGAUCAGCGCAGCUUCUGCUGCUUUCAUAUUUUUAAAUCCACGAUCCAGUUAUUUUUAAUCGCAUUUGAAAAAAAAAAAAUAUUUCAAAGCCUAUUGAAGGAAGUGGGGACACCCUUCUCAACUUCAACAACUUUUAAUCAAGUUGUAUAAAAGAACACCUCACGUGUCUUAAAACUCCUGGCAUUUUGCCACCUGGGUCCAUGGCUCCUCCAUUCCUCCCACGUGGCAUUUCAGGAUCAUAGGAUGUCAGGAUCCACUCAAAGCCCAAUGGACACCCCUUGGUCCUUUUGCCUGGUGCUGGCUCAGACCUGAGUCAUGAGUUGACAGUGAAGACCUUUCCACAGACCCAUUGUUUGCAAAUUAUUUCUCCUGCGGCAUGGAGAGAAGAGAAAUUUAGGUUGGAUGUCAGGAAGAAAUCCUUUACUCAGAAAGGUGGUGA